AUUGAACGCUGGCGGCAGGCUUAACACAUGCAAGUCGAGCGAGCGGCGGACGGGUGAGUAAUGUCUGGGAAACUGCCUGAUGGAGGGGGAUAACUACUGGAACCCGUAGCUACUACCGCAUACCCUCAGAUGUGCCCAGAUGGGAUUAGCUAGUCGGUGGGGUAAUGGCUCACCUAGGCGAAGAUCCCUAGCUGGUCUGAGAGGCUGACCAGCCACACUGGAACUGAGACACGGUCCAGACGCCUACGGGAGGCAGCAGUGGGGAAUAUUGCACAAUGGGCGCAAGCCUGAUGCAGCCAUGCCGCGUGUGUGAAGAAGGCAUUCGGGUUGUAAAGCACUGUCAGCGAGGAGGCGUUACUCGCAGAGGAAGCACCGGCUAACUCCGUGCCAGCCGCCGCGGUAAUAC
rnacentral:rRNA from 1 species